rnacentral:lncRNA from 1 species
GCCGACUUCCCCUUCCCAGCCCCGCUGCGCCCUGCGGGGCCCUGUCGGCGGUGGGGGCUGCGGACCCGGGAGCGCGCGGCCGCGCUGCACGUGCAGGGACCGGUAGGCGCCGGGGUCAGCGCCAGCGUUUGAUGUGCGGCGGGGAGCGGGCCGAGCCCCGGGAGGCCGCUUCGCACCUCCCAGUGUGUCCGGGUUGAGCGCGAGGUCAGGAGGGGACGCAGAGUUCACGGCGAAGACGGAUCGCGGGGGCUCGUCCCGCCCGGGUUGCGCGCAGCGGGGGCCGCGUGAUGGAUGGGCCGGGCCGGGCACCCGGGAACCCGCGAGCGCGGGGCUGGGCUCUGGGCUGCGUCCGGGGGCCCCGACUUGGUUAUUGAUCGGCCCAAGCGCAGGAGAACUGACUCUAUAAUGCAUCGCCUGACCAGGAAAAGUGUUUGCUUUUGUGGGAGCAAAAGACAACUUUCUGCCCCGCCAGAGCGUUGCUAAGUGAGCGGUAAUGACCACGCUAGAAAUUUCAUAGGGAGAGGCUAAUGGCAGGCUGACUCUAAAAGUGCUUUUAAGUGCAACUUCUGUCUAAUCCCUUGAGGGGGAAGAAAACAUCGGCGACUAAGAAAGUUCAAGUUGUACAGGACCCGGGUUUUUGGGGUCGGGGUCACUUCUGCUCUGCGUGACUUUGAAGAGGAAGACCUGCGGUUUUUUCCAGUGGAUUUUCACACGUGUUUUAAAGAGAACUCCCGGCUCCUGAAAUGAAAGGCCCGCCUGUAGGGUUUUGCUGCCUCCCCUCUGCCCACGCCCCACCCCCACAGCCUGGAUCAAAGCGAUCAGACAAAUUAUUCAGAAGUAACACAGCCCUGAAAUGUUCCUAAACGUGACUAUUUGAGGCGAUGAAUCAAGCGUGUUCCCUCCGCCCCCAACCCACCCCCAGACCGAAAAUGUGACUCUGGAAACGGACUUGCAGAGCUGGCUUCGGUUUAUAUGCGGUUCUGACCCCUGUUGACUUUAGGACAAGCCUUCCUGUUUCCAGUACUGCAGCAUCGCCAGACAGCCUCGCCAUGCAAUCGGCUUUCCAGAUACGAUUUCACUCCUCACCAAAGACACUUCUUUAGGGCGAUUUUAGGAUUCUAUCAACGCUAGUAAAGGAACUACUUAAACACGUUGAUUUGUAUCGCCUUCCCUGACUAUGAAACAUUGAAGGGGAAUACUACUCAUCAAUAAAAAAAAUAUAAACUCCUGAUACACCUCAUGGAUGGAUGCAUAGAUGGAUGGAUGGAUCUGAAAAACAUCGUGCUGAAUAAAAGAAGCCAGACAUGAAAGAGGGCCUCGCAGGACUCUGCACAGCCCGCACAAAGGACGUAGGAUUCUGCACUGGCAGAACUGGAUGUAAUGUUGCCCUGAGAAACAUUCAUUUAUUUCAGAGUGAAACCCGUUAAAAUGGAAGUGUGUAGGAUUUGGGUUGGCUGGAUGCAAGCUUCCCUCUGCAGCGGGAUGAGGCUGCCACUACCAGGAGCACGCUGGCCUGCCGGCGGGAGGAACAGAUGCCAGAGGAGACCUGACUGUGUCCUCAAGGCCAUGCCCCAUCAGCCAUCCCAGCAGAGCCCACAGCCACCCACAGAGGAAUGAGGAUCCCCAUCCAGGAUCACCGGAACUGCACAACUGACUCACAAACGUGUGAAGAGUAAUGGGUAACGUGUUGAACUGUGAGCCUUUGAGCCUGGGGAGGUUUGUGAUGCAGCAGUAGCUCCCAGACCCUUGAGGCUCUUCGGCACGAAGGUGCUGAGCCAUGCACCUAUGCAAAGCCAAACUCUGCACUAGGCCUACUGGGGUGUGCAGAGAGAGAGGGCUGAACAAACUGCGGUUCCACCCAGAAGACCCAGAAGAACAUUUACGGAGGAGUCAGUGCAAGAGGCGAGAGAGCAUGCGUGAAGAGGCUCGUUCUUGUGGUGUAGAAAAGGAGGCCAGAGUCUCCCAGACCACGAUUCUUUUCCUUUAGGUGUUUCUUGGGCAUUUUCAAUCUUAAAUCUCUUCCCAUGUUAUUGAGAUUUCUGAUUGAAUGUCCCCAUUUUCCCUCAGACAGCAGGCCGUGUGUGAGUCACCACCUCCAUCUUUCUAUGUCCUGGGUGUGGGCCCAGUGAAGGACAGUUAUGGAAAUUUAGAGAGAAGAGGUCGCAGGUGUGGUGGGGGUGGUGAAGCUUCAGAAGAGAAAAGAAGCAUGGUGGAGAGGGUGGACUCUGGAGGCUACUGCAGAGCUCUCCCCCAGGCUAUGAGGGGGCAUGAUGGUCCCAAUAGCCUGAGUCUGUGUUCAUUUCAACUGGCUACCUUGUGACGAGGAAGAUGGCCCAGGUUCCCAGUGGGAAAUCUAUGGUUAUCAUUAAGAACGCAGGGCCUGAGAUGAAACCUGGCAGGUGAAAGGCACCUGGUUUUAUGCAACCUGGUUUUGCAGAAGCCUGUGGGAGGGGGCCCAGGGGGGAAGGGAGCAGAGGGCAGUGUUGGCUCUGGUUCCCCCACCAGGCAGGUGGGCUAGCACCUGGGUAAGGGGCUUUGCAUCUGGAGCUGGUCAUGCCUCAGUCCAGAUCCUGCCUUUAUCAGUUGAUGGGCUGUUACCUGCCAGUGGUUAUGGUGAGGACUAAAUUACGGAAAGUCAUCAAGGAUCUUCAUUCAUUGCCCACCACAGAGCAGGCACUCAAUGGAGAACACUCACCACCAUCUAUGUUGUUAAUGUUGCAUCUGCAGCCCUUGGUUUCCUGGAAAGACUCUACAGUACAGGGGCAGGUUAGGGGCCACAACCAGGAAACAAGACACAUCUGAGAGAAUGCAUGGGAGCUUAUGGAAGGAUGUACAAGGCUGGGUGUGGGAAUCCCGGCACUUCGGGAGGCUAAGGUGGAAGGAUCACUUGCAUCCAGGAUUCAAGCCUAGCCUGGCCACGUAGUGAGACCCCAGCUCUACAAAAAAUCAAAAAUCAACUGGGCAUGGUGGCAUGUGCCUCUAAUCCAAGCUACUCAGGAAGCAGAGAUGGGAGGAUCGCUUGAGCCCAGGAGGUUGAGGCUGCAGUGAGCUGAGAUCAUACCACUGCACUCAUUCUGGGCAACAGAGUGAAACCCUGUCUCAAAAAUAUAAAUAAAUAAAUAAAUAAAUAAAUAAAUAAAGAAAGAAAGAAAGAAAGAAAGAAUUUACAAGAGGGGAGUUUUAGUGGUUGAAAAAUCAUUCACUCAUUCCAGGAGCAAGAGCCUUGUGGGUUUUCUUCCUGUUCUUGCCUGGGUUAUCUCUACUGAACCAAAGAAUCCUUGUUAGGAAUGCUCUGGUGGUGUCAAUCAAUGCGUUUAUAAAUCAUUUGCUUUUACCAUGGAAAAAGAUAUCACAAAACAACACAGCUGUAGUGCAGGUGCAGAUGACCAUGGAACGGCAGCCUGGCGUUUUCAGUAGAGCACUGGGCAGCAGAGUCCCUGGGCCUCGGAACCCCGGCCUGUUACCACCCAACACCAUCCCUGGGCAAAAUGCGAAACUCCCAUCAGAUCCAUGAAUGGAAAAUGGGCGUAAUUAUAAUUGCACCCCACUCUCUACCUCUCAGCUAAGGUGAGAAAUGAAUAUGAGGAUGCUCAGUGAAAAUGCUUUGAAGUCUGUGAAAUGCGAAGCAAAUGUGAAGCGAGAGGAAUAAUAAGGUUCUAAGGACCCACACUUGGGCGUUUGCUCUGAGCUGGCCCCUGUCCUCCACACUGAACCUACAGCCUCUCCUCUCACCUAAUCUGCACAAAAAUCUUACGAAGCAGACACACUUACCAUGCUGGCCUUUCCGUGAAAUUUCAGGUCUUAGUGUCGCCCAUUACUGGUGGCAUUUCAUGCCACAAGUUGGGCCAUCUGCACCUCCAAGCACAGGGUCACAGAAGACUUUAUCCCGUCCCUUGGGCUGACUGAAUGGUUGGUUUGUGUCAACCCCUGUUGUCCCUUUGAGCAACUCGGGGGCAAUGGUUAUGGGUAGGGCUUAAAAAACCGUCUGGCUGCAAACCCAGUGCUGAUACGAACAAGGCCUAGUCAGGCACUAAGUGUUUUGUGUUCCCCAAAGAGAUCUUAAUGAAAUCCCAGCAUGCCACUCACUCCUACACUUAAAAUACCUUUUAAGUGUAGGAAAGAAAGUGCUUUCAACCCCACCCCAGCCAUUUGGAUUCGGAGACUCCAUUUAAGAUGCACAGCUUUCCUCCAGCACAGGGGCUGGGUAUCCAAACGCAGAGCCUCCCCCAGACUCUCUCUAGGCUUAGCCUGGCUUGGUGGGCUCAGGAGGGAUUCAAGAUUAUUUCAUCCUUUAUGUCCAUUCGAUGACAGUUUAUCAUCAUUGCCACCUCAUACUCUAUUGUAGCCAAACAUCAUAACCAGCACCAUGUGAACUACGUCACUGACGCCACAUUCUUUUUCUCGGCUGUCACUAGGCUCAGGUCAGGACAGCCCUCCCGGCUGACUUCCGCGAUACUUUCUGUAUCUCCUUUUCAGUCUGCCCUAAAAUGACAGCUGGACUUCCGACAGUGGUUUCUUAUGUGGGACACAUGGCUCUUAUACUCUGGGUGGCACGGAUUCCUUUAUUGCCAGUGGCUUAAUUUUCCCAGAUCUAUUUCCAUGCAGACAGUGUGAGGUUGGACUUCAUGCCUCAUGCUCCUGAUUGGGGCUCGGAAGUCUAACCCAGCUUCCUGCAGUGCCGCCCCCAGCUUAUUCAAUGCCCAACCUGCAGGUCCUAAGUUGAACCCGCACACUGCACGCUCACCUGGUCUGUGCUGCCAGCUGCAUUGGAAAUGGAAGCAUUAAACACCGUUCUCCACUGUCAGCCACCUGCUAGCUAAUGAGUGACAUCAUUUAACACUGUUUUGAAAAGAGAGAUUUAAAGUUGUUUUGAAAACUGAAGGAAAAAUACAAAUGUUUGAGUGUUAAACAUUUUGCCCAAAUACUAAAAUGUGAAUGUCUUUUUAUUGUGACAGUUCACAGGAAAGCGGGCUAUAGCAUGCCUGUGCUUGUCAAUGAAAAUCUUAGCACUGAGUUUGGUAAACAUUCUGGCAGUCGGGAAGCCACUUAAAAAUAAAGUUUAAAGAAAAGAAAGAGAAGUGUUCACUUUCCUUCUAAUUUUCCCAGAUACGCUCAAUAUUCUGCUUUAUUUUUUAGUAUUUUAACUAAAAUAAGAAAACUCGGAUUCUACCUCUAUGUGUCCUAUGAUUGUUGUUGUUUUCUCUGAUUAUAAAAUACAGGUUUGCAGCAGAAAACUUGGCAAAACAGAGAUAUGAAGAAUAAAAUAAAAAUCACCUGUAGUUCUAAGCCAUGAGAAUAAUCAUAUAUAUAUUCCCUAGGUAUUCUGAAGCAUAUGUAUUACAGUCCAAAUAUUUAAAAACAAAAUUUGGGUAAUACUUUAGAUAGAGAGUUGUAUUCUGAUUUUUUCUAUUAAUAUUAUAACUUUGAAACGAGGGACUUCACCAUUGCUUUUAUUUUUCUUUGCUAUGUAAGUACUUAUGUUCUUUAUGAGGAAAAUAAAAACUAUAGAAAAGAAAGAUAAGAAAAUAAAAUCAGUAAUAAUCCCCUCACUUACAAAUGACUGCUGUUAACAUUUUAGUUUUUUGGUUUCUAUCUAUUUAUGUGAAAUUUGAAUGAAAAUAGUAUAAUUUCGCUGUCUCUAUAUUGCUUGGUAACAUAAUGAUUUAACUGUAUAAUAAAUAGUAUAUUACAUGAAUAUUUUGAGUAAUAGUCUGU